rnacentral:rRNA from 1 species
UUCGGAAUUACUGGGCGUAAAGGGCGCGUAGGCGGCCCGCUAAGUCGGACGUGAAAUCCCCAGGCUCAACCUGGGAACUGCGUCCGAUACUGGCAGGCUUGAAUCCGGGAGAGGGAUGUGGAAUUCCAGGUGUAGCGGUGAAAUGCGUAGAUAUCUGGAGGAACACCGGUGGCGAAGGCGGCAUCCUGGACCGGUAUUGACGCUGAGGCGCGAAAGCUAGGGGAGCAAACGGG